AACGUAGGAGACGAGCGUUAUCCGGAUUUACUGGGCGUAAAGCGUGUGCAGGCGGUUCGGCAAGUUGGAUGUGAAAUCUCCCGGCUCAACUGGGAGGGGUCGUUCAAUACUACCGAACUUGAGGGCAUCAGAGGAAGGUGGAAUUCCCGGUGUAGUGGUGAAAUGCGUAGAUAUCGGGAGGAACACCAGUGGCGAAGGCGGCCUUCUGGGAUGUUUCUGACGCUCAUACACGAAAGCUAGGGGAGCGAACGGG
rnacentral:rRNA from 1 species